GGCGUGCUUAACACAUGCAAGUCGAACGAAGCGGUUUAGCGGAAGUUUUCGGAUGGAAGUUAAACUGACUGAGUGGGGGACGGGUGAGUAGCGCGUGGGUAACCUGCCUCACACGGGGGGACAACAGCUAGAAAUGGCUGCUAAUACCGCAUAAGCGCACAGCUUCGCAUGAAGCAGUGUGAAAAACUCCGGUGGUGUGAGAUGGACCCGCGUGUGAUUAUCUGGUUGGUGAGGGGACGACUCACCGGCGAAACAAUCAGGGGCCGACCUGAGAGGGUGACCGGCCCCAUUAGGACUGAGACACGGCCCAAAUUCCUUCGGGAGGCACCAGUGGGGGAAUAUUGCACAAUGGGGGAAACCCUGAUGCAGCGACGCCGAGAGAAAGAAGAAGUAUUUCGGUAUGUAAAGCUCUAUCAGCAGGGGAAGAGAAUGACGGUACCUGACUAAGAAGCCCCGGCUAAUUACGUGCCAGCAGCCGCGGUAAUACGUAGGGGGCAAGCGUUAUCUGGAUUUACUGGGUGUAAAGGGAGCGUAGACGGCUUAGCAAGUCUGAAGUGAAAGCCCGGGGCUCAACCCCGGGACUGCUUUGGAAACUGUUAAGCUGGAGUGCUGGAGAGGUAAGCGGAAUUCUUAGUGUAGCGGUGAAAUGCGUAGAUAUUAGGAGGAACACCAGUGGCGAAGGCGGCUUACUGGACAGUAACUGACGUUGAGGCUCGAAAGC
rnacentral:rRNA from 1 species